AUGUUGUCGGAGUCGGUACAGCCACCGGGUUUGUUCAUGCGUCGCGCCGACAGAAAUAAACAUCUCUCUGGGAAGAAGGGCGGGGCUGUAUGCUUCAUGAUUAACGACUCAUGGUGUAAUCAUAACAACAUACAGGAACUCAAGUCCUUCUGUUCACCUGACAUAGAAUUCCUUACAAUCAAGUGCCGACCAUAUUAUCUCCCAAGAGAAUUCUCGUUGGUUAUUUUCACAGCUGUGUAUAUCCCCCUUCAUGCAGAUACCACGACGGCCCUCACGGAACUUCACUGGACUCUAGGACGCUGCAUUGUAGCUGGGGAUUUUAACAAAGCAAAUUUGAGAGCAAGGCUACCAAAAUUCUAUCAGCAUAUUAAUUGCAGCACUCGAUCAGGCAAUACACUGGACCACUGCUACUCUAACUUCCGCAAUGCAUACAAGGCCCUCCCCCACCCUCCCUUCGGCAAAUCCGACCACAACUCCAUUUUGCUCCUACCGUCCUAUAGGCAGAAACUGAAACAGGAUGUACCCGUGACUAGAACCAUUCAACGCUGGUCUGACCUAUCGGAAUCCACGCUUCAAGAUUGUUUUGUUCACGCAGACUGGGAAAUGUUCCGGGCAACCUCAGAGAAUCACAUCGAUUUAUACGCUGACUCGGUGAGUGAGUUUAUAAGGAAGUGCAUUGGAUAUGUUGUACCCACUGUGACUAUUAAAACCUACCCUAAUCAGAAUCCGUGGAUAGAUGGUGGCAUUCGCGCAAAACUGAAAGCACGAACUAAUGCAUUUAACCAUGGAAAGAUGACUGGGAAUAUGGCCAAAUAUAAACAGAAUAGUUUUUCCCUCCACAAGGCAAUCAAACAAGAGAAAUGUCGGUAUAGGGACAAAGUGGAAUCGCAAUUCAAUGGCUCAGACAUGAGACAUAUGUGGCAGGGUCUACAGGAAAUUACGGACUACAAAAAGAAAACCAGCCACGUCACGGACACCGGCGUCUUGCUUCCAGACAAACUAAACACCUUCUUUGCCCGCUUUGAGGAUAAUACAUUGCCACAGACGUGGCCCGCUACCAAGGACUGCGGGCCCCACCUCUCCUUCUCCGUGGCUAAUGUGAGUAAGACAUUUAAACGUGUUAACCCUCACAAGGCUGUUGGCCCAGAUGGCAUCCUUAUCCGUGUCCUCAGAGCAUGCGCAGACCAGCUGGUUGGUGUGUUUGCGGACAUAUUCAAUCGCUCCCUAUCCCAGUCUGCUAUCCCCACUUGCUUCAAGAUGGCCACCAUUGUUCCUGUACCCAAAAAGGCAAAUAUAUUUGAUCUAAAUGACUAUCGCCCCGUCGCACUUACUUCUGUCAUCAUGAAGUGCUUUGAGAGACUAGUCAAGGAUCAUAUCACCUCCACCUUACCUGCCACCCUAGACCCACUUCAGUUUUCAUACCGCCCCAACAGUCCACAGACGACGCAAUCGCCAUUGCACUGCAUUAUCCCAUCUGGACAAGAGGAAUACCUAUGUAAGAAUGGUGUUCAUUGA
rnacentral:lncRNA from 8 species